ensembl:snRNA U1 U1 spliceosomal RNA
AUAGUUACCAUGUAGAAAAUAUAUCCCCAUCACAAAAGUGUUUGUUUCCCAUGUGAGGCUCACACAUUGCACUGUAGUUGUCUUGGCCCAUGAGGUUUCCCCAAAUGCAGGAAACUCAGUUGCAUAAUUUUCAGUAGAAAGAAAAAAACAGGAAUCUUGCUUUUUU